rnacentral:rRNA from 1 species
AUGCAGAAAACAGUGGUGUUCAAAUCGCAGAAAAUGGCAAAGAAAACGGGUCAACAGGGCGUUAUUUCAUGUGUCCUGGUCCAGGGGACAGAUCCUCUUCGGGAUCGGCGCAGGUGCUGCCUGCAGGCGGGCGCACAGACGGGCCAGCAUCAGGUGGCCAUGCAGACGAAUCCGCGCCAGCCACGCGGCAGACCUCGGCGGGCCGCAGCGACUCCUCUUGCGCGCGCGAGUCCGCGCCCGACAAUUGGCCGGCUGGGUCUGGUCUGGGUCGGGUCCAGCAAGAUGGCCAACUGCGCGUCUACAAGCGGCGCGCCGCGGCUGGCCCGGCGGAUGCGGGGUCAGGUCUUGAUCCUCCUCGGGAUCAGGGCGGGAUCAACCUGCGUCAGACCCGGGAUUCUCUGCGCCGGAGCACCCUGUAGAGCCCCUGGCUGCUACUUCACGACGAACUCGACUUCAGCAAGGGGUAAUUAA